UACGGGGGGGGCAAGCGUUGUUCGGAAUUACUGGGCGUAAAGGGCUCGUAGGCGGCCAACUAAGUCGGAUGUGAAAUCCCCAGGCUCAACCUGGGAACUGCAUCCGAUACUGGAUGGCUUGAAUUCGGGAGAGGGAUGCAGAAUUCCAGGUGUAGCGGUGAAAUGCAUAGAUAUCUGGAGGAAUACCGGUGGCGAAGGCGGCAUCCUGGACCGACAUUGACGCUGAUGAGCGAAAGCUAGGGGAGCAAACAGG
rnacentral:rRNA from 1 species